rnacentral:rRNA from 1 species
UACAGAGGUCUCAAGCGUUUGUUCGGAUUCAUUGGGCGUAAAGCGUGCGCAGGCGGUGAUGUAAGACAGGUGUGAAAUCCCCGGGCUUAACCUGGGAACUGCAUUUGUGACUGCAUCGCUGGAGUGCGGCAGAGGGGAUGGAAUUCCGCGUGUAGCAGUGAAAUGCGUAGAUAUGCGGAGGAACACCGAUGGCGAAGGCAAUCCCCUGGGCCUGCACUGACGCUCAUGCACGAAAGCGUGGGGAGCAAACAGG